AGCCAACUGUACCGCAAACCAACACAGGUUCGUCGUAACAAGGCUUAAAUUCAGGUAAAGGAACUCGGCAAAAAAUUUAAGGUGCUAGCAUCUUAAAGGUAUUGAGCAACGACUGUUUCCCAAAAACACAGGACUUUGCAAAAAUUAAUAUUUAAGUAAAAAGUCUGAAGCCUGCCCAAAGGCUAAGCAAACGGCAGCUGUAACUCUAACGGCUCUAAGGUAGCGAAAUUCCUUGACAUUUAAAUGGUGUCCAGCAUGAAUGGCUUAACGACUGCUCGUCUGUCUCUAUCUGAAACGCUGUGAAUUUGAAAUGCUUGUGCAGAUGCAGGCAUACGCGCAAGGGACGAAGAGACCCUAAGCAGCUUUA
rnacentral:rRNA from 1 species